rnacentral:rRNA from 1 species
CCUACGGGAGGCUGCAGUGGGGAAUAUUGGACAAUGGGGGGAACCCUGAUCCAGCCAUGCCGCGUGUGUGAAGAAGGCCCUCGGGUUGUAAAGCACUUUCAGUGAGGAAGAACGCCUGGUGGUUAAUACCCAUCAGGAAAGACAUCACUCACAGAAGAAGCACCGGCUAACUCCGUGCCAGCAGCCGCGGUAAUACGGAGGGUGCGAGCGUUAAUCGGAAUUACUGGGCGUAAAGCGCGCGUAGGUGGCUUGAUAAGCCGGUUGUGAAAGCCCCGGGCUCAACCUGGGAACGGCAUCCGGAACUGUCAAGCUAGAGUGCAGGAGAGGAAGGUAGAAUUCCCGGUGUAGCGGUGAAAUGCGUAGAGAUCUGGAGGAAUACCAGUGGCGAAGGCGGCCUUCUGGACUGACACUGACACUGAGGUGCGAAAGCGUGGGUAGCAAACAGGAUUAGAUACCCGAGUAGUC